AGUCGAUUAUCUACAGCGAUAAGCGCUAUUCUUUGUUGGACAACAGAGCCGAUGUUACAUGAUCAAUUCAUCAAAAUCAAUUUUUAGUUUUCCGAACAAUACACUUGAAAGAAGAGAGCGCAAUGUUAAUAAAAUAUUGUAAAUGAAUAUUCAAGCGUGCAAACCUUCCUUACCUGGUGUGUAAAGGGAAAACACAUGCCUGGAUGGACAAUUGAUAAAAAUUGUAAUGAAAAGUGUGUGAGUGUUUAUGAAUCAUUUGCCAUGAAUAACCCUUUUUUUGUCAUGUUUUUUUUUUGUUUUCAAUAUUUGUAUGCUUUGUAAGCGGCCCAUACAUUUACUGCCAAACUGCUGCUGUCGAUGAACCCUUUGUGUGCGUGUGUGAUUAAAUAAUGCCUGGCGCUCCUUCAAUUCAAAAUAAUUAGAUUUUGUUUCAAUUUUUGGUGUUCGGACUUUUUAUUUUCAUAAAUUGAUUAUUAAAAGAUUUGAAAAUUAAUACAAUUCA